rnacentral:rRNA from 1 species
UAAUACGGAGGAUCCGAGCGUUAUCCGGAUUUAUUGGGUUUAAAGGGUGCGUAGGCGGGAGAUUAAGUCAGUGGUGAAAGUUUGCAGCUCAACUGUAAAAUUGCCAUUGAAACUGAUUUUCUUGAGUGUAAAUAAGGUAGGCGGAAUGUGUUGUGUAGCGGUGAAAUGCAUAGAUAUAACACAGAACCCCGAUUGCGAAGGCAGCUUACCGGGCUACAACUGACGCUGAGGCACGAAAGCGUGGGGAUCAAACAGGAUUAGAUACCCUGGUAGUCCACGCAGUAAACGAUGAAUACUAACUGUUUGCGAUAUACAGUAAGCGGUACAGCGAAAGCGUUAAGUAUUCCACCUGGGGAGUACGUUCGCAAGAAUGAAACUCAAAGGAAUUGACGG